rnacentral:rRNA from 1 species
AUGCGGAGCUCAAUCAUGUCACGGAGGAAAUCGUUGGUCUGCCCCUCUGUCAUCUCGAGGUCGUCAAUGUCGUCGAUGGCUCCGGACUUGAGCACGAGCUUGAGGCGAUCAAGGCGGUCGGCGUCGUCCUCCCCAAAUAACGUGACCGGCUCGCGGAGCACCCGGAGGCGCCGCAUGACCUCGUUCCGCGGGAGGACGAGCUCAUCAAUGCGGCGCUCCUCGGAGUGGAGCGUAUCCUCCGGCGUGGCCUUCUUCCCCGCGAGGGCGGGCGGAACAGAGGCCGCGGCGGCGGAGGAGCUAGGGUUAGGGUUCCCGCCCCCGGCCUGGGCUGGGUCGGCGUUGGAGUUGGUAGGGUCGGAGGCGGCGGAGGAGUUGGGGGUGGGCACAGAAGGAACCUUGGCGGGGAUCUGGCGGCGCUUCUGGAGCUGCUUGUCCUCCAGCUCCGACCGCCGGACAAAGUUCUUACCGCCGAAGUCGGCCGUCGCCGCCUUCCGCUUCUUCUCCAGCUCCUUCCUCAGGAGAUCCAUCUCUACGGCGAUGCAGCGCAAGGCUCCUCGCCGCUUCCCGGAGACGGGGAUGGAGAUGGGGCGGGGGGAGGCGGCGCCGGUGUGGCUUUCUGACACGGGAAUACUCUUGACACGGCGGCCACGACUCCUCUCAACCUCCGGUACGCACCGGUGA